rnacentral:lncRNA from 1 species
UGCUGGUUGAGCCCGCUGUGCAGCUGGAGCCCAUCUGGGUGUCUUUAAGUGAUUUGUGGUGCUCAGAGCUGCAGCUGCUUCGUGUACAGCGGCGGCUCUGGGACCACCGUUGUCAGCCGUCACCACCACCGGUCAGGCUGAGAAUCAAGCUGAAGAAAGAGAGAUCAUUUUUCUUAUGGUGCCUCUUGGUGACUGAUGGAUCUCUGCAAGGUGCAGUUCAGCUGGGGCCUGAUGGGAGCUGGAGCACAGAGGACGUGAGGAGAGAAUGGCUCAGCAUCUUCCCUGACCAGGUUUUCAGGUGAGAAAAUGUGUGAAAUAACUGAGGAAAUCUGGGAGCUGCUGUAUGCUCCAGUGGGGAAAAGGUGGCAAAAGGUGAAGGCAGGAUUGGGCUUGUGAACAUACUGUCUCCAGCAGGUCAG